rnacentral:rRNA from 1 species
UCUUGGUCAUUUAGAGGAAGUAAAAGUCGUAACAAGGUUUCCGUAGGUGAACCUGCGGAAGGAUCAUUAAAGAAAUUUAAUAAUUUUGAAAAUGGAUUUUUUUGUUUUGGCAAGAGCAUGAGAGCUUUUACUGGGCAAGAAGACAAGAGAUGGAGAGUCCAGCCGGGCCUGCGCUUAAGUGCGCGGUCUUGCUAGGCUUGUAAGUUUCUUUCUUGCUAUUCCAAACGGUGAGAGAUUUCUGUGCUUUUGUUAUAGGACAAUUAAAACCGUUUCAAUACAACACACUGUGAAGUUUUCAUAUCUUUGCAACUUUUUCUUUGGGCAUUCGAGCAAUCGGGGCCCAGAGGUAACAAACACAAACAAUUUUAUCUAUUCAUUAAAUUUUUGUCAAAAACAAGAACUUUCGUAACUGGAAAUUUUAAAAUGUUAAAAACUUUCAACAACGGAUCUCUUGGUUCUCGCAUCGAUGAAGAACGCAGCGAAAUGCGAUACGUAAUGUGAAUUGCAGAAUUCCGUGAAUCAUCGAAUCUUUGAACGCACAUUGCGCCCCUUGGUAUUCCAGGGGGCAUGCCUGUUUGAGCGUCAUUUCCUUCUCAAACAUUCUGUUUGGUAGUGAGUGAUACUCUUUGGAGUUAACUUGAAAUUGCUGGCCUUUUCAUUGGAUGUUUUUUUUCCAAAGAGAGGUUUCUCUGCGUGCUUGAGGUAUAAUGCAAGUACGGUCGUUUUAGGUUUUACCAACUGCGGCUAAUCUUUUUUUAUACUGAGCGUAUUGGAACGUUAUCGAUAAGAAGAGAGCGUCUAGGCGAACAAUGUUCUUAAAGUUUGACCUCAAAUCAGGUAGGAGUACCCGCUGAACUUAAGCAUAUCAAUAAGCGGAG